UUCCAGACUCCUACGGGAGGCAGCAGUGAGGAAUAUUGGUCAAUGGCCGUAAGGCUGAACCAGCCAAGUAGCGUGAGGGAAGACUGCCCUAUGGGUUGUAAACCUCUUUUAUGCGGGGAUAAAGGUGUCCACGUGUGGAUGUUUGCAGGUACCGCAUGAAUAAGGACCGGCUAAUUCCGUGCCAGCAGCCGCGGUAAUACGGAAGGUCCGGGCGUUAUCCGGAUUUAUUGGGUUUAAAGGGUGCGCAGGCGGAUUUUUAAGUCAGCGGUCAAAUCGUGGGGCUCAACCCCAUCCAGCCGUUGAAACUGGGGAUCUAGAGUGUGCGAGAGGUAUGCGGAAUGCGUGGUGUAGCGGUGAAAUGCAUAGAUAUCACGCAGAACCCCGAUUGCGAAGGCAGCAUACCGGUGCACAACUGACGCUCAGGCACGAAAGCGUGGGUAUCGAACAGGAUUAGAUACCCUAGUAAAC
rnacentral:rRNA from 1 species